UUUUCCUAGUGGAAGAGAACAGCAUGUAGGUGAACUUGAGGCUGGAGGGAGGGGAGGGAUGCAAGCCAGUGGGCAGCCCCAGUAAAUGCCCUUAUGGACAUACCACACUGGAAGGAACCAACAAAGAGCUUAUUCACCUUCUACUUUGGAAUUGUAUCUUAGGCGGGUAAACCUGCCAAUUCCAUUUAUGACAUAAGCAGACUAGUUCUUAACUGUUCAUAACCCAACAGACAACAACUUGAAAAUAUAACACUUUGCAACACCUGCCCAGGCAGGAGGACUUCCAGCUCCUUAGAGAAGCAUGAGGCAACAAACGAGCGGGCCAUUCAGAAACUAACCGUCCAAGAAUGCAAAGGCAUCCUAAAAUGAAAGCCGCGACAUUCUCACUUGAACCGCGGCCUGAGGAUGCUUUGUACAAGACAGAGAGCUCUCCCUCUCAGUCCCUGCUGCAAUGGAAAAGGUACGAAAAAGCAAGAGACUUGUACCUUGAGAGCGCAGGACUUUCUCGUUUGCCUCACAGACCAUAACGGACGCCCUCGGGAGAGGGAACAAGCUAGCAAGGAACAGAAGGAGGAAUCCCACAGCUUUCCCCACUUUCCAAAAACAGAGCUUCUCUGGAAGCCAAAACAAAGUGCUUUUUCUUACCUGUCGA